rnacentral:rRNA from 1 species
UGCCAGCCGCCGCGGUAAUACGGAAGGUGCGAGCGUUAAUCGGAAUUACUGGGCGUAAAGCGUACGUAGGUGGUUUGAUCAGUCGGAUGUGAAAGCCCUGGGCUUAACCUGGGAACUGCAUUCGAUACUGUCAAACUCGAGUCUGGUAGAGGGUAGUGGAAUUCCGGGUGUAGCGGUGAAAUGCGUAGAUAUCCGGAGGAACACCAGUGGCGAAGGCGGCAUUCUGGGCUAAAACUGACGCUGAGGUGCGAAAGCGUGGGGAGCAAACAGGAUUAGAUA